UAGCAAGCAAUCGAGGAGGGUGGGCGGGAGAGAAGAAGAUCUGAACAAGAGGGAGAGAUAUGUGACAACUGCGCGUGAGCAGAGGGAGUUGGUGCUGAUGCUGGAUUGCUGACGAACUCAGAAUCUGAUUGCGCACUGUUCCGCGCAUCAGUCUGUCCCCAGGCUUUUAGUCAAAAUAUCACCACCCCUCCCCCGUCUUCAUCGAUUGUCGUGCCUUUUAGCCAGGUGCGGAGUCGUCGAGCCUCUCCUAGCCUCAACCGGAGCCAUGCCCUCACCUUGGCCGAUGCGUCAACCUUGUCCUCUAGCCCAAAGAUCAGCCCCGUCCUG
rnacentral:lncRNA from 1 species